CCUCCAGAACGCCUUCGUCUUCAUCGCCGGCUUCCAGAGCACCUUCGCCUUCGUCGCCGGCCUCCAGAACGCCUACGCCUUCGUCUUCAUCGCCGGCCUCUAGAGCGCCUUCGACUUCGUCGCCGGCCUCCAGAGCGCCUUCGCCUUCGACUUCGUCGCCGGCCUCCAGAACGCCUACGCCUUCGUCGCCGGCCUCUAGGGGGUCCCAGUCCACGUCCCCGGCCUCUAGGGGGUCCCAGUCCACGUCCCCGGCCUCUAGGGGGUCCCAGUCCACGUCCCCGGCCUCUAGAGGGUCCCAGUCCAUGUCCCCGGCCUCCAGUGGGUUCCAGUCCUUGCCUCCAUCCUCCUGUUUGUUUGGACCUUGGCCCUCCUCCAGACCCCCUCCACCCUCCCAGGCUCACUUGGACUUAUGUUUUGAGGGACAUCUUGAAGCUGUCCCUUGAGGGGGGGGUACUGUCAUGACUGUAGAUCUGUCUGUUGUGUUCUUGUCUGGUUUUGUCUUGUGUUUUCUUGUAUUUGAUUUCCAUGUCUCUGUAUCUUGUCUUGUGUCUUGUUUUUCCCAUGCCCUCAUGUGUCCUUUAAGUUCUCCUGUGUUUUUCCUAUGUUCCCUCUGGCUCCCUCUGUCCAUUGCCCUGGUCCCUUCAUGUUCUCAUGUGCUCCUCCCCUUCGUUAUCUCACCUGUUGGUCCACCUCACCUGUUCCUCGUCUUGUCAUCAGUGUUUGUGUACUUAGUCUGUGUGUUUCCCUUCACUCCCUGUCUGGUCAUUGUUCUUGUCAGCGUCCGUCCGUCCAUGCUCCAUGCUCCAUGCUCCAUGCUCCAUGCUCCUGUGCUCCUGUGCUCCUGUCUGUCCCUUGUUCCCCCGUCUCUGGCUUGUUACUUUUUCAACAACCGCAGAUGACGACACUACUAAGACAUAACUUCCUAGAGAGGGAAAAUCUACCGCGGAGAGAAAGCACCGUGAGUUACAGGUUAUGUUCGAGAGAAAACUUGCAGCAGCGACAUGGAGGAAAAAAGUGAACCAGGGAACGACAA
rnacentral:lncRNA from 1 species